GGGGCCACCUCUAGCGCCGCGGCGAGGGGUAGCCAAGAUGGCGGCCGGGGGGGCCGGUGGACGCAGUGCUGCCCGAUACCCGUUCCCGCGCUCAGCGCCGCUGCCCCUCGUUCGGAAGCGCGUGGGAACAUCAAAACCACAUGACAGUAUCGCCGGCACCAGUUAGCGCAGCUCUCCCAGAGAGCAUUGUGAUACUUCGGGUCCAGAUGGCCUCCUGACGUUCAGAGGUGUGACAAGGUGGAAGGUCAGAGAGAGGGACAGAGAGGAAUGAAUGAGAAAGAAGUUGUGCUUGCCACUGAGAUAAGUGAUGAGAUAGGAGCUCCAGAGUCUCCUAUGCUUACAGAGCAUAGCAUGUACUUGUGCGUGUGCACUUCCCACUUACAGUCAUACAGAAUAUUGCAUAAUAUUGGCAUCUGAACGUAUAGAAUUAUAAAUAGAAUAUAGAAUUGUUUUCAAAGAUAAAAAUGUAGUUUUCCCUCAGUUACAACUGUAGGAUCUUUUGUCUUUCAUUGUAUGUUAAGUGUGGAAUAUCAGAGCAGCCAAGCAUUCUGUGACAAUCUUGUUCUGCAAAGUACUCAAAUUGGACCGGGAUGUGAAGCUUUAAGAACACGGGAAAAGUUUCACUUAAUGCAGAACAGUAACGUUAUGACGGAUUUUACAUUUCAAAACUUCUCAGUACUCAUUUCUGUGUUUACUUCUUGAAGAAGCUACUGUUAACACAUCAGAACUCAAGGAUAUUAAAUAUAUAUAUAUAUACAUAUAUAUAUUUUUACUGCAUGAAAAGAAAUUGGAGAUAAAUAAAGCAUAUCAUUUUACAUAAAAUCCCAUCUCGCCCCCAAAGUGCAUCUAUGGAAAAGCACAAUCCUAUCCAUAAAGAACAACAAAAAAUCUAUAAAAUAGACAUCUCAGCAAAUGAGUUGACUGUUGAGGAAAGAGUUUCACAGUAAAUCAAAUUAUUUCAGUUACUGCAAUGAGCAGUUUGACUGCCUAAUUUCCCUCUUUAUAUGAGAACAUAGUUUGGAUUUUAUCAGAAGGUUUUAGCGCAUAUUUUCUCCUCAGCAUUUUGGUAUUCUUUCAUUAUGACACUUGUGCAAGUUCUUUUAUUUUGACCUCAGCUUUUAAGCCCUUUAUACUUAGAUUUGCACUGAAAUUGGCUUAUUAUAAUCAUGUCUUGUGAAGAUUUGCAUAUGUUCUUAAUGUCAGCUGUGUGAAUAGUCCUAUUAAGUUCCGUAGGGUGACUCUUGCACAACAUGAAAUAUGCACAGACAUCUUGGAAGAUUGAGGGCCAUAUGUUUGAGCGUUAAAACAAGUUUUCCAUCAUUUAAUUUUAAAAUAGAGCUGUGGAACUAAUGUGUUAUUUGAAAAAACAUUCUGGACUUAUCUGAAAUCCCAGAGGCACAACUUAAUUCAAUUUCUUGGCUCUCACAGUUUUUAAAUGGUACAAGUUCAAAACCAGGGAUGUCACUUCAAUUGAAAAUGGCAGCCAAGACAGUUCAAACAGAGCUAGGCACAUUCAGUCAUAAUUUUCUUCAUCUUUAUUCAAGUAUUUAAACAUAUUUAAAGAGGGAGAAAAUUAUCAUUUGUAAUUGAGAACUGAAAAAUGACCUUUUUUUUUAUUUGUUGAUUCAUUAAGCCUCAAAACGAGUACUUCUGUCAUCUGUGUUUUGGUUGUUUGUUCUGUGGCUGUUUUCUUCAGAACUAUUGGAAUUGUUUUCGUUGCUAAAAAGGACCCGUGCACGCUAAAGGUUAAAAGCCACAUACCUCGAAGUGGUUAGCCUUGGCUGCAGUACAGUUCAGCUGGAUUCGCGAGUGCACUUCCUGAGAUCCUAGUUUUAUGGGGAGUAUUUAUAGCCCUGUUCAGUCCCACUGACUUCAGAGAGAUGACACAAGCAACUAGCACUGUCUUCUUAGUAGGAAUUAAUGGUAUUCCUUUUUUUUUAUCUUAAUGGGCAAAUCAGUUUUAAAACCCUUUUUGGGUUUUUCUGAAGAAAGAACUGAAAUUAUGGUUGAUAGUAGGAUAAUUCUAAUUUUUCUAGACAAACUCGUCUGAAAGGAGUUAGCUCUCAUUCAACUGAAAGUUACUAAAGAUAAAUGCUUACUUUUAACAUUAUUUAAUAGAGCGCAACCCAGCAAAAGAGAAAGAAGUUAUCAAUCAGCCAAAGUGCUGUCUGAAUCAGUGGCGAAGCAGCAUUGGCUGAACAUCAUAUGAAGGGUUGUAUAAGCCCAUGCAGUCAGAAAAUGGCUUGGCAUGAGAGAAAUUAGAGAAAACAUCCUAUAUUCCACAAUUGCUUGGAAACACCAAUGUUUUCACAGCAGAGUGAUGCUGAUGAACACAGCUGCAGUUAGUGAAGUAAAUGUUCAUCCUUUGUGGGGUGAAAAUGAAUUGGUGCUGGCAAUUUUCUGGUCUUUCUUUCGUGUUUUGUUUCUCUUAGUUGGGUUUAAAAACUAAAAGCAAAAAACAAAGCCACGGUCAUGUUACAAGCCCACACUCCACAAUGACAUGGGAAACUGCAGAGGAUUAGGAACUUUCCCUUGCUACUUAGGCAGGUGAGGCAUGGAAAUACGAAAACAUAUUACAAUCCUUAAAGGAUCUCAUUAGAGUUCUCAGAUGUGUUUAUCAUUUCGUAUGUUUUUCUUUUAUCCCAGUAUCACACACAUACAACCUGAAAAGGAUUAGUCCAUUUAGACCGUUACUUAGAGUGUGAGAAGGUUAAAUAUGAAAACAAUUUUUUUUCUUAUGGCAUAAAAUAAGUGUAGAGUUUUCUAAGAAGCUGUAGAUAUUUUCAAAGCGCAGAGAGUUUUCUAGGUGAUGUCCAAAAUGUGCUGAAUAUUGUGUGUCUGCUUAAAAAAAAGAUAAAUCCUUAUAACUUUAUGGUGUCUCUUACAAAAAAAAAAUCAUUGCUUCAUCCGCUUCUUCUCACCCAAUCUCAGCUGUAAGUGCUCCAUAAAUAAGAUCUCUCUCGUAAAGUUGUAACUCAGAUCUCACUGGCUGCCAAAAAACUUGCACAGAAAGAUUGCUUAUGAUGAAGGCUUCACUUUCCAAAUAAUAGUAAAAAAACUCCCUACAUUCAAAAAUAAAUGCAGGACUGAGAUAUAAAAAGUAUUUCAAGAUGGGCAUCUGCAUAUUAUGUGAGGUGGGCACAAAUAAUUUAUAUCAGCAUCAUUUUUACUGUGCUUCAGUGUAAAUAGCAUAUUUCCAUCUGGCCUGAUUUAUGGGAUUUUGGAUGUUCACUAAAUGGUUGAGUGAUUUUUAUCACUGGAUUUUGUAUUUUAAAGUCAUGUAAAUUACACAAGGAGAAAAAAAAAAAAACUAGCAAAAUGAAUGUCCAUGAAUUAUUUGCUCCUUAGGGGACGUGUGGCAGAAUCGUGUGCUGAAGACCACUGUGCAUUGUCAGUGGGUGAAUGAAAGAUUCCCAGAGUGGAGUCCACACACAACUCUUGAGGUUGUUCUCACUAUUUCAGAGUAUUCAGUGUAAGCUCACAAAAGAGAAAGCACUCCACACAGAAAUCUGGACUUGAUAUAAAAUAUUUUUUGGAAGUAUAUUCAGUACAAAGACAUGCAGCUGAGGUGUUUGUGGCAGCUGCAGAGAGCUCCUCUGUGACCUCUGUUAAAGAUUACAUGAUGGACAGAGAAGCCAAGUCAGACUUCUUGUUCAAAGGGACGAUAUUUCAACUGCUCUUUGAUGGAGCAGCAACUGCUCCCUUCCUACAUGCAGGGAACAUGCAGGUUGCAUCCCGUGGAGCAGGACGAGGAGAGAAUGGUUUCCUCAAACCAUGGCUCUUUAAGACCUGCUUAUAUAGUAUUAAGACUGAAGUCACUUUCAGAUGCAGUUUGCUUAUUUUGUGCCUGUAAUUGUUUUGCAUCUCCCCUUCCAGUAGUAAUAACAUUUAUAGCACACACCUAUGUACUUGAGUAUUGGCUUGGGACAUACUGACGCAUAUACCUCCAACAGUUCCAGGCUUCAGAUUACAUUAGUAAUACUUCUAGUACAUCAAAUUACCUCAAGGAUCAAAACAUACUUUUAUGUUUGAAUGAACUACUUGGCAUAUUACAGAAGCAAAGGUGGAACAAACAUUCCCUGGAGGGAGAUUGCAGAUGCCAAGCUGGUUAGUCCGGUAAACAGCAGCCGGGCUCAGAGAACCACCUCCCUCUGUCUGCGCAUCACACUCUUCUUAUCGCAAUACUAUCUGAACACCUUUGCAAACCAAUUAAAUCCAGACAAGUUGUAUGUGAGAAAAUGCUUAAUCCAGAGUGAUAAACAGCAAAAGAUAGUAUUUUAUUGUUCUUCAACUCAUACAAAGCUCUAUACCUACUAAAGAAAUAGCAUCUGAGGGCAAGGCUGGAUGCAACUGGCUGUGGAUGCAGCACAGUAGGGCUCUCUUUCAUGUCACCAGUUUUCACAAGGUGACACUAAUUUGGCUUUUCUUAGAGAGUCUGCAUUAGGGUGCACAUAGGGUCCCUAAAAUCCUGACCUGUGAGCCCUUGGCCCUCAACUGCUUCCUUUCCAACUGCAGCAAGACUCUGGAAGUUCAUAAUCGGUAAUUGAAUUUGAUUGAUUCAAUUGCAUUUGAAACUUUCUCUUCCAGGGUACUUUUCCCUACAAGCACUGCAUAUUCCCAACCUUUGUCACACACAGAUAUGAUGAGCAUCUUAGAGGUGGCAACUUCUUGUAGCCAAGAAAUACUCGCUAAAGUGAAUUAAUUAAUGGGAAUCUGUUUGUAGCUUGGUUUCUGUGAGGCUUUCUAUGUAAUAAGAUCGUCUCAGAUGAUGUUUAUA